AGUGGCUUACACACUUUAGGAAUGGCCACUUGUUGCUUGAAAACCAACCUUGUUCAAGACAGCCAGCAACCUCCUGAAAGAAUGAAAACAUCAUGAAAAUUCAUGAACUGAUCUAAGGAAAUUUG